rnacentral:lncRNA from 1 species
AUGAUCCUGGCUUUAAUCUUUUUCCCUAGAGUCUCAUUUUCCUCACAGCAAAAUGGGGAUGGAUAUAAAUUUGGUCAAGGUGGGAACUGUAACAUUGGACCAGUCGACUUCCAAGACACCAUCCAGCCCCAGCAUUCUAUAAUUUCAGGAUUCUGGGGAGUCCAUGAACGUCAUUUCAGUCCCACAUGCUGGUUCUUCUGCCUGUUUUGUGGUAGAAAACUGACUGCAAAACAUGACGGACCCAAGAGCCCCAAAGGUCUUCCAGGAAGAAUCUAAUUCUACCUGCUCCUGCCUGUGUAUGCUGGUGCCCCAGGCCCCCAUUAAACACCACACCAAGACUCCUCCCCAGAAGAUGCUCCUGACUCCACAGCACAAAAACCAAAGCCACCUGAGUCUGCUGAGGUGGGGAGAGAAGCGAGAAGAGCCUGGAAUCUAUAAACCAGAAAUAAAAUCCUAAGCACCACAACCAACUGAACGGACCCCCUCUGGGCCAAGAGGACCCCUGAGAAACCCAACAAAUUGAAUUCCUGGCCAUGACGGGACACACUUUGCUCUAUCUGCACCCUUUUGGAGGUUAGGCACAGCUGACCAGCAUUAACAUUAAAAUAGCGAUCCAUCCUAAGACUGACAAAACAGACUCUUUGUGGCAAUAAGAUACCAAAUUCCAACCUGACUCUGGUCUAGAAUCACAUGACAGAUAGCAGACCCUGAAGGAAAUAAAAUUAUUUUGCCUCAAAAUGUGUUCCUUUCACAUCUUUUGAAAUGGCCCUCAAAGCCAUCACCAUCUUCUGUUGAGGAAACUCGCACCUGUAGAGAAUCUCCAUUAAUGCAGCCAGGGCUUUCCUUUCUAGGUCUUUUCUGGAUCUAAGAGAGAGGACCUAAGAGUAACACUUUAUAAGGUCUGAAAAGAGUCAUUUGCCAUCUAUUCUCUCUGAAGGCUGCUACCUGGAAGCUUUGUCUACAUCACAAGAACCUCGGUCUCCACAUCCCACCAUAUUUUAACUCAAGCAUUUCUUUCCAUUGACUUCAAGUCUUUAGACAAAGCUUAAAUCUUUCAACCAAUUGCCAAUCAGAAAAUCUUUAAAUCAUGGGCGUGGUGGCACACACCUGUAAUCCCAGCUACUCGGGAGGCUGAAAAUCAUCACUUGAACCCAGGAAGCCGAGAGGCAGAGAUUACAGUGAGCCAAGAUUGCGCCACUGCACUCCAGCUUGGGCGACAGAGGGAGACUCUGCCUGAAAAAAAAAGAAAAGAAAGAAAGAGAGAGAGAGAGAGAGAGAGAGAGAGAGAAAGAAAGAAAGAAAAGAAAAUGUUUGAAUCCACCUAUGAUCUGUAAACCCCAUCCCCUCACUGUAUACCCCGCUAACCUCCCCUCACUUUAAAGAUACCCCACCUUUCCAGCAGAACAAAUGUAUACUUUAUAUGUACUGAUUUAUGUAUUUACCUGUAACUUUGUCUCCCUAAAAUGUAUAAAACCAAACUAAUCCAACUGCCUGGGGCACUUUCUCAGGACCUCUUGAGGCUGUUCCCCAGGCCAUGGUCACUCAUGCUGACUCAGAAUAAACCCUUUCAAAUAUUUUACAGAAUUUGAUUUUUCUAUUGACAAAUCCCUGCUCCAU